AGCCUAUAGAAAGUAUAUUAGGUAAAACCUGCCCUGUGUAAACAAAUUAACGGCCGCGGUACCUUGACUGUGCUAAGGUAGCAUAAUAAGUUGGCUUUUAAUUGGGGUCUAGUAUGAAUGGUUAAAUGGAAAUAAACUGUCUUUAUAUAUUUUAUUGAAAUUUCUAUAAAAGUGAAAAAGCUUUUUGUAUUACAAAAGACGAGAAGACCCUUUGAGCUUUGACCUUUUAUUUUAGAAAAAUAUUUGGGUUUUUGUUGGGGCAACAGUAGAAAAAAACAUCUUCUAUUUUAUUAAACAAGUCGAUUUAUAAUAAGAAAGAUUAAGCUACCUGAGGGAUAACAGCAUAAUUAUUUAUUUUAGUUUGUGACCUCGAUGUUGGACUAGGAAAAUAUAGGAUUAGAAGUUCUAUUUUUUUGUUCUGUUCGAACUGUUUUUCCU
rnacentral:rRNA from 1 species